AGGCGCAGUCCGCUGAACACUCAGCGUGGUUUCGUUUGGGGAGCAGCAACAAGAGAAGACUUCCCGGGGACGCAGAGGAGUAUCUGACCUGCACCCGCGGCCGACUUGUUUCACCGCCUUUUGCAACAACAGACAAACAGACAGACAGACAAACAGACAAACAAACAAACAAACGCACAAGACGGAGAGAUCCUUCCUCGUCGCAGAAGUCGCGGUGGAAGCUCGGGUCAGUGGGAAGGUGGCAGCGCACGGACUGCGGUCUCUCGGAGGGAGCUUCAUACAUUUGGGUCCCGAAGAAGAGGAAGGAGACGAAAAAGAAGAAGGAGAAGAGACGCGAAGCGGGGCGAAGAGAAGAAGACAAGACAGUCCAAGUGAAAGCGAGAAGAGAGCCCGCCUCAGCAUGAAUAAUAGCAAAAGCGAGAAGGAGAUCGAGCAGAGUGAAUUCACCAACCACGAAGAGGAGGUCCGAACGCUAUUUGUCAGCGGGCUUCCACUGGAUAUUAAGCCGCGGGAGCUCUAUCUCCUGUUCAGACCAUUUAAGGGCUACGAAGGCUCCUUGAUAAAGCUCACUUCUAAACAGCCGGUGGGGUUUGUCAGCUUUGACAGUCGAUCAGAGGCGGAGGCUGCUAAGAAUGCCUUGAACGGGGUCCGGUUUGAUCCGGAGAUCCCUCAGACCCUUCGGCUGGAGUUCGCCAAAGCCAACACCAAGAUGGCCAAGAACAAGCUGGUUGGCACCCCCAACCCCCUCCCCUCCCAGCAGAGCCCCGGGCCGCAGUUCAUUAGCCGAGACCCAUAUGAGCUCACAGUGCCCGCUCUAUAUCCCAGCAGCCCAGACGUGUGGGCGUCAUACCCGCUGUACCCGGCGGAGCUGUCACCGGCCCUCCCGCCCGCUUUCACCUACCCCUCCUCGCUCCACGCUCAGAUUCGCUGGCUCCCACCUGCAGAUGGAACUCCUCAGGGAUGGAAGUCCAGGCAGUUCUGCUGAAGUAUGUGUUCCUGAUGUGUGAUGGUGGCCGUGGCCGGCUGUGACGGGCGUUGCCGAUCGCCUCUCGUGUCCAAUUAGAACCCACGGGUGACUGACCCGACUGCAGCCCGCGGAGCAGCGUACCGUCGGCAGCAGCAGCCUCAGGACAUUCUAGACCCCAGCCUCCAUCACACAUCGAGCCCCCCCCCCCUCUUGUCCCCCCCAAGUCCUCCCAACUCCUUUUUUUUAUACUGUUACAUACUCAUGAUUUACCGGCAGCGCUUUGGCUACACCUCCUACGACACCUCCGUGAAAGGUAGCGGGGCGUGCGCGACAAAGCCGCCAAGGCCUCUCGCUGCGCACGUGUUCAUUGCGGCCGCGAGGGCGGCGCCGGCACGUUUCGCGCGGCGUACAGAGGUGGUGUUCCGGAGCGCCGCCGGGUAAUGUUAUUAUACGACUAUAAUUAUUACUAUUCUGUAUAUCGUUCAUAUUAAUGUUAUUAUGACUAUUAGAUACAUGUUGAAGCAUGACUUUGCAAAAAAGAAAAGUGAGAAGAAAAAAAAAACAAGCAACGCUGUACAUUUCUAGAUAUUUUAAAGAAAUACAAAAAGGUAUUUUUGUAAUCGAGACUGUUUGAAAUGGUUCUGUUCGAUCGGUUCGUGUUGUGACGAAGCGUGUGAGGAGCUCUCACACUUUAUAAUUCUUUUUUCUUUUCAAUGCUUCCUGUUUUUUUUGCCAUUAUAAAGUCGCCCCUGCUGUGCCAAAGCAGUCCUGUGGGUUUUCUCUUGUCUGUUCUACGUACCGUGGGCUUUUAGGGUCGCUGGUGUGCGUCUUUGCGUGGUGUCUUCACCUCACGAAGCAAACAUAUUGGUCCUUUGUCUGAAAUCGUCGUGAGAGAGAAACACACCUGAUCUCGCCCGUCAGCUUCGGCGGAGGUAAUCAGAUGUGUUGAGAGAGGCAGCGACAGCAACGAGGCAUCGCUGUGAAAGUAGAGCUACACCAGAGACUGCAAAACACCGCGAACUGAGCCCUGCUAAAAUAAGGAAUUUGCUCCUUCUCUUGUCUAGCGGGAGGACAGCGGCACAGUACGGAGAAACAAAAGACCAAAGGCAUUUUUCUUUUACACUGGAGAGCUAUCUAGGCUAGUGGAAUUAUUCCGUUUUUGACUGCUUUGUAGUCCUCAGUCUGAUUUCUUAUGAAGUACGACUUUGUUUUUGCUGCAUGUCUCUUUUGGUGUCACUCCAAAAGAGCCACUCUGCACCUGAAAGGAUGUUCACUUUAAGCAAUUUGUCUCUUUUGUCUAUUUUUAGGGAGCCAACGCGAAUCAUCUUGCUUUCGUAAAUUUACUGAAGAUUGGGAGUGUUAAAAAAAAAAACUAAAAACUUUUGUAAUCGUGUGUAUUCUGGGCCUGCAAUAACGUCUUUGCUGUUUGACAUAUCAUCGAGUGAUCUCAUUCCUCUGACGAUUUUGACGCCAAAACCACCAUUUAUGUCGCAUUUUUACGAAAAACAAACAGUGACUCUUGUACUUUUCUGAUGAGGCCAAGUCACACUUCAGUGACGUGACGAUCAAAAACAGAAAAACCACAAGAAAUACAAUCUUCCCCCGCAAAGUUUAGCCCAGGUGUGUACAAUCAUAUUGGAGUGGUGAAAUCAUAUAGUCAGUGUUUGUAAUGAAUAAUAAUAAUAAUAAUAUGCACAUCAUGUCAACUGAUUUUCUGGAGCAGUUUCUGCUUUACAGACAUUUUUUUAAAGCCAAGUGUGGCACCAAAUUUAUUAGAACAAGUAUUUAUAAGAUGUGUGUGUGUGUGUGUGUGCGUGUGCGUGUGGGCGUGUGUGUGUUUUUAUGGGUAUCAUGUUUUUAAAGUUAGAAGAUGCCCACCAUAUAAUUCAUUGUAAGUAUUAUUGUACGUUUAAUUGUAUAUUAAUUUUGGCGGUUUUCUAGAGCUUCUUUUGUGUGUUUGUAUCUGAUAUAUGAAUACUGUUUUACCUGCAUAAUUCACUGUGAAAUCUAGAGAAAAACCUCGAACGAAUGGAUCAUUUUGUGUUUCGCCAGCAGUACGGUACAGAAGUUCCUGGAAAUGAAUAUGAUGAUCCCACCCUUUGUCAACAGUUUCAGUGUACCCUGUGCGUAACUGUGUGUUCUGUGCAUGUUCACGGCAUGUGUGUGUUCUUCUUUUCUUUUCCUUAUCGCAUACAGUACUGUUGAUAUUUAUGUACUUUAGCCGCUGUAAGGAGGAACUGUAUUUCAGUGAAUUGCAGAGGUUUGUUUGUUUGAAACCCCCCAAAAAAAGUGAUCAAAUGAGUUUUUAUGAAAAUGUUAAAUGAAGACAUUUCCGGCCAUCUGCCAUUAAAGAUUGACGUCAUCCCCGCA